GUAAGGAGAAAAAUCGCACAAAAUCCACGCUUCCGGCUUCAUGCACUUUCCCAUUCAAUCAUUGCCAUUGGCAAUAUUAAAUGUUAAGGCCGCAGUUAGGUCCAGUGUAGGUAGUAUUCUACAAUAAGCUGUCGUGGUUUGUGUCUGAACUACCUGAAAAAGAUAUCUCAAACGUGGUGGUCCAGUGUAGGUAGUAUUCUAUAAUAAGCUGUCGUGGUUUGUGUCUGAACUACCUGAAAAAGAUAUCUCAAACGUGGUGGUCCAGUGUAGG